rnacentral:rRNA from 1 species
AUUAAAAACCAAUGCCCUUCGGGGCUCUCUGGUGAUUCAUAAUAACUUCUCGAAUCGCACGGCCUUGCGCCGGCGAUGGUUCAUUCAAAUUUCUGCCCUAUCAACCUUCGACGGCUGGGUCUUGGCCAGCCAUGGUGACAACGGGUAACGGAGGGUUAGGGCUCGACCCCGGAGAAGGAGCCUGAGAAACGGCUACUACAUCCAAGGAAGGCAGCAGGCGCGCAAAUUACCCAAUCCCGACUCGGGGAGGUAGUGACAAUAAAUACUGAUACAGGGCUCUUUUGGGUCUUGUAAUUGGAAUGAGUACAAUUUAAAUCCCUUAACGAGGAACAAUUGGAGGGCAAGUCUGGUGCCAGCAGCCGCGGUAAUUCCAGCUCCAAUAGCGUAUAUUAAAGUUGUUGCAGCUAAAAAGCUCGUAGUUGAACCUUGGGCCUGGCUGGCCGGUCCGCCUCACCGCGUGCACUGGUCCGGCCGGGCCUUUCCCUCUGGGGAACCGCAUGCCCUUCACUGGGUGUGUC